rnacentral:pre_miRNA from 1 species
UCUUAUGGAUGAGCAAAGGAAGUGAUUUCUUGAGAUGGAAUCUACUCCUAGUAAAGAUGCUGUGAA